rnacentral:rRNA from 1 species
CACGUAGGGCGCAAGCGUUGUCCGGAAUUAUUGGGCGUAAAGAGCUCGUAGGCGGUCUGUUACGUCUGCUGUGAAAACCCGGGGCUUAACCCUGGGCUUGCAGUGGAUACGGGCAGACUAGAGGCAGGUAGGGGAGAAUGGAAUUCCCGGUGUAGCGGUGAAAUGCGCAGAUAUCGGGAGGAACACCGGUGGCGAAGGCGGUUCUCUGGGCCUGGACUGACGCUGAGGAGCGAAAGCGUGGGGAGCGAACAGG